GUAGGUGGCAAGCGUUGUCCGGAAUUAUUGGGCGUAAAGCGCGCGCAGGCGGUCCUUUAAGUCUGAUGUGAAAGCCCACGGCUCAACCGUGGAGGGUCAUUGGAAACUGGGGGACUUGAGUACAGAAGAGGAAAGCGGAAUUCCACGUGUAGCGGUGAAAUGCGUAGAGAUGUGGAGGAACACCAGUGGCGAAGGCGGCUUUCUGGUCUGUAACUGACGCUGAGGCGCGAAAGCGUGGGGAGCAAACAGGGAUUAGAUACCCUGGUAGUCCACGCCGUAAACGAUGAGUGCUAAGUGUUAGGGGGGCUUCCGCCCCCCUUAGUGCUGCAGCUAACGCAUUAAGCACUCCGCCUGGGAGUACGGCCGCAAGGCUG
rnacentral:rRNA from 1 species